rnacentral:tRNA from 6 species
GCCGACGUAGCUCAGUUGGUAGAGCAGCUGAUUCGUAAUCAGCAGGUCAUCGGUUCAAGUCCGAUCGUCGGCUCCA